UUGCACAAGAAGAUCGGCACUUGUCUUAAGCCAACGAGAAACCCAUUCUUCGGUUAUUGGGAGAGUGAAUCUCUUUGAUUCCCAUUCGUCCAUGUGAAGUCGCUGUGGAUUGACUGAUUGAGAGGCUUGAGAAUCCUGAGUGAUUGGUGGGGAGAUAUUCGAAGGAGGGGAAUUAAUGCUCGGAUUAAAUGUGGAUUUUCUAGUUGGUGGAGGGCCAUUAAUUUCUAUGAGGGUGUUACUGUAUUCUACAGUAGAAGGGUUCAUCCCCACCAUCCAAACCGUGGGUUUGGUACUCACUAAGUCGCCGCUGCCAUGAGCUGAAAGAAUCGGUGGAGAUGCCGAUAAUGGGUCUGCUUUCCUCUGCCUGUCCGAUUCUCUGAAGAUUCUGCAGGACUGUUUUUGAGAAUGAGAAGAUGCCCUUUGAAGUUCCAAGGGAUUUGAUCCAUAAUUCUCUUUUUGUCCCUAGCAUUUUGGAAUGUAAAUAGAAAAAUAUUUGUCUCAAGAUCUUCAAUGUGGAACUUACUGAGAAAGCUCCAAGUAGCUCUGAAAGAGGCAUGUAGGGAAAUUCUAUUUAGAGGGCGAGUAGCAACAAUUCUUCCUAUGAGUGCUAACUCAGUAUCACCAUUGGAUAGUUCUGGAGUGAGAUUUAAAUCUUCCCAAGAGAGGGCCUCAGUUUGAUGUAUCAGUUGCUCCAUAUCCAUUGUUGAGAUUUGUGAGAAGUUUGUGAGAGGGGAGUUUGAGUUUUAUGGAA